UGAUUUUAUUGUUUCUGUGUUUUUGUUUUCAAUUUAAUUCCUAAGUUUGCAAUGCAAUGAUUUUAUUGUUUCUGUUUUUUUUUUCUUUCUCAUUUUUGAAACGUUGCUAACAGCUUCACUUUGUCCGAUAAAUGAAAGUUGUAUCACAUGAUCUGGUGAAAUACACUUUAUUGGUAUAAAAAUCAAUUGCAAACUACAAUGAUCAAACAUGGAAAAAAAAAAAAUCAAUCAAUCAAGCAACAAACAAACUUAAUCAAAUGGUCAAACUUGUUGCAUAUUAUAAUAUCAUAGAUGGUGAUAAUGCUUGACUUCAUGACAUUGAAAACUAUGAAAAAAAGGAUACACUAUAUGUUUUUUAUUUUCUACAUACUUGUUUUACUACUCAGGCUAACUGAUUGAAUAUUGGCAUGGAAAAGCAAAACAUUGUACAAGUUUUAGCAGGAUAUUCACUGACCUUUUUUUUUUUUUUUUUUUUU